rnacentral:rRNA from 1 species
AAUCAUCAUGCCCCUUAUGACCUGGGCUACACACGUGCUACAAUGGUUGGUACAACGGGAUGCUACUUCGCGAGAAGAUGCUAAUCUCUUAAAACCAAUCUCAGUUCGGAUUGUAGGCUGCAACUCGCCUACAUGAAGUCGGAAUCGCUAGUAAUCGCGGAUCAGCAUGCCGCGGUGAAUACGUUCCCGGGCCUUGUACACACCGCCCGUCACACCACGGGAGUUUGCAACACCCGAAGUCGGUGAGGUAACCGMAAGGAGCCAGCCGCCGAAGGUGGGGUAGAUAACUGGGGUGAAGUCGUAACAAGGUAUCCGUACCGGAAGGUGCGGAUGGAUCACCUCCUUUCUAUGGAGA